CCGCAUUCCAACCCCUCCUGGUAGCUGCACUGCUGGCUGCCGGGAGUAAGAACGAAUGCCAGAGCGAAACGGGGAUUCAUCCAAAAUGCGGAGCUCCUGUCCUGUGGCUCCGUGUUAUUUCACGUCUUCGACAUUG
ensembl:snoRNA